UUAUACAACCUCCUUAUGAAAUAUUUGCUGUAUUUUGUUGUCACACUGCAAGUUUUCUUCGUUUGGAUUUCACUGUCAAUAUUGUUUUCAGUGUUCCUUCCCCUGAGACCAAUCACCCCUCCAUGACCCACACCCCUCAUUCAACAUCGGAAAGGUGUGUGUAUGUGUGUGUGUGUGUGUGUGUGUGUGUGAGUGAAUGGUUAGCUUCCGAGAAGAAGCAUGGGCACGACUGUGGCCUUCUUCCUCCUAACCAACCCCUUCUCUUAUUUCACCCCUAGCUCUACAUGGUGAGAAAAUCUCUCUUCAAUAUUCAUCUCUGAGGAUUUAUAACUAGGUCUGACUGAAUGGUUGGGCAUUUUUUAAAGGUCUGGUACAAAAAAUACCAAAAACUCCUCCUCCAUUUUUAGCCCUAACACCCUGAUGAAGAGGGAGGGCAAAACUAAGUGGUUAACAUCUUCAUGGCAUAUUGGUUAGCUGUGAAAACCCAUAUUAGAUGCAUUGCAGCCUCAACCUGGCUUGGAAAGUCAGUGUCAAAAAUGAAACCUGUUUUGCAGGUGGUUGACAAACAACCUGUCCAAAUGUUGACCUGGACAUUAGCGACAUGCACACCGUCCUAAUGCCUACAACGGAGAACUGCCAAAGUUCAUUUCCUUUCCGUAACUUCACACGGCUUCUCAGUUUGUUUGUUUUUGACACUCAUCAGUUCCUCCCCCUGCUAAACCAACAGAGCACCUUAAAAACAUGACCACACCUCAGCCAUACAUCCCCGACCAACCAUCGAGUCUUGAUUAAAGAGUCUGGACCCUGACUUUUCUUUUGACGACGUACAAGGCAGAACCCCCUUGGAGAAUGAAUGUAAGGCUUGGGGAGACAGAGAGGGACACGAGGGAGUGACGGAAGGAAGGAUGAGCCGCUGUUUAUGGGUGUUCCAGCGGCAGCUGACAGAAGCCACAUUUUCAAUAGGGUGUGAAAUUCCUGCUUGGAUGGGACCUCCGCCUGGUAAAUAGCAGAGGGGACAGAGAGGGAGGGGAAGCAUCGUCAGUCUGUCUGCCCUCGCUGGUCCCAUGAGCCUUCCCAUCAUGCCCAGGGAAAAAAAGGGGAGUUUAUCUGUGGUCGCCGAUGCUCGACCGAUAUCCCCGCUGACCUCAGCAGGGAGGCAUCCGCAAAGGCCAACAAAACACUAUGUGAAGAGGUCCUGCGGUGGUGCUGUGCGGCCUGAGCUGUUACAGAAAUAGCUGUCAUUAAAUAACGCCACCAGUCGGGGCCGAAGGGCAACAAAUGAAGAUGAUGCAUCGCAUAAACGCACCUGGAGCACAAAGAAUUCUAACACGCGAUCACUGUAAUUUCUAUGUCGAUGUGAUUCGAGGAAAGACGUCCUUUGAUGAGAGAGGGAACGGCAUAUUAGACUCGGCUGUCAACUCAAAUGCACAGCUGUCACCACAAUAUGGCUUCAAAGCAGCCUGAAGACUUUACAUAUUGCCACCAAAAUACAAAGAAAUGACAAUGUAAGCCUUUUGACGAGAAAAGAGCCCAACAGGACUCGUACCAGUCUUUGCUCUGUGAGAUAUGAAAAAGGCGGAUUUAAUCAAAAGCGCAUAGGAGGAGACCACAGAGCUCCCGUUUCUGCCGAAGUUCUGAUGAAGAAAAGGAAGAGAAAAGGAAGGGCAAAAGGAGAAGGAGAGGAAGACAAAGAGGUAAUGAAAGGCAAAAGUGGGCUGCCGCUGGAGAGAGGAGAAAGGAAGGUCCUGCAACCUUGAGAAGUCUAUGUGAAAUGUUGCCAGGAUCCCCCCCCCCCCCCCCUAUCAGCACCCAUGGGAAACUUCAGAACAUUCACACAGAACAGCAGAAAAUGCCCAAGACAAAAUGACAAACAGUGACAGAUAGCACCGGAUGGAAAAGAGAUGAAGAGAGAGAACGAUGUUAUCAGCACUCCUGUGCCCGUGCUCGCUGUUUGUAGUCUGUUUUGUCGAAGUGUCUCUCCUGCUUGUUUGUAGAAUGUGUUCUGUUUCCCCGGCGGAUGCAGCCAGUUGAGAAAACAGGGAUUCGCUGCAAACACCACUUUUGUGCUGGAGUGGGUAACGGAGGGUAUCACGGUCCCUUGUGGAAACUUUCUUGAAAGCAUGAGAGGAGAAGUGAGUGCAAUGUGUUCACCAAGACAUGUAGGCAUACUCCGAAUACAUGCAGACCCGCAUAGAAGAAUACACACACACACACACAGACACACACACAGAGACAUAAAAAAUACACUUUGAUGUCUACUCUCACAGACCACAAAACAGAUUCUCUAACACACACACACCCACUCAAGCCCAAAAUUCUGUAUUCACUUAUCCAGUUGAGCAAACACAAACUAUUGUCACCGCGUGCACGCACACACAUAAACACGACACACAACUAAGAUUCCCUGCUCGUCUUCAAAAGCGGUGACUCUGGUGAUUAAGCGCCGUGGAAUUUGUUUGGGAGCUCAAAGGAGACACUGUACUUGUUUUGCACACGGUCCCUCCUUCAGGUCUGUGUGGGUGGAGGCCAUGUUGUGUCAGUGGAUGCUGAUGACAGACAAGCGGUCUUGGCCCCACACUGUCAGUGCUGAGGCAUGCAGUGGCAUGACAUAGUGUGUUAUCACAUGAAUGUGAAUCAGCCCCAAGAGCAGCAGACCACAAAUCACGACAGCGUAAGCAACAAGCGACAACAGUUUCCAUUUUAGGAAGAGGUUAUGAGGGAUGAGCAACAGGCUCCCAAGGCAAAAUGGAGAUGUUGCCUGUAUUUCUUUUUUUUUGGGGGGGGGGGGGCAGGCUGCAGAUUUGUCAUAAGAAUGACUACAUUUUGUGAGGCAUUGUGCAUGCGUGUGUAUGUGCUCUCUCAUACUGCAAUAUGGCUGCUCAUUCUCAAUUCAAUUUUCAGUUGGUUUUGGCAAGAAUAAAUUACUAGACAUGCUACUCAUUCCAAAACAAACUCGAGCCAAGAGUUGGCUUGUCAUCAUGUCAUCAUAAACAACUCAAAGAGCAACACAGAGGAUCACAAACUAUUUUACGAUGCAGGUGGAUGCAGAAGUCUCCCAAAAUUAAAAAGCAACUGCACACCUUUGA